UCAUGUUCUCCUCGGGUCCUGGGCCAGCUGACCCUCACGCUCCAGUCUGGGGUCCCCACGGGUACUGCAGACCCCUUGGCAGAAGUCUAGGGGGUCGAUUAGGAAUUGGGAAUGCAGCAGGAUAUGGGCAAGACUGCCCAGUCUUCGUCAGCUCUGGCUGGGCCUGCGGGGCUCUGGUCCUCGGCCUCACUUUGCUGAGGGGGAACUGAGGCCCAGAUCAGCAAGGUGAGCCUAGCAUCCAGGGACGAGGGCCAGUCAGGGUUAGAAACAAGUCUCCCAGCUCCAGAAGCUCCCUAGGAGGACCCCUUCCCACUCUCCUUGUAAACAGAGAAACUGCCUGGCUGGGUUGGUGGGGGCUGUAGGACACCCCCUGCCCUGGGUGGGAGCUGGGAAGGCUGAGUGGACCCUGGAUCUGGGGUCAAGCUGUCCUGGCUAUGGGGCUGAAGGCCACACAGGGAGGAGCCCCGUGACGUGCUGCUCCGCGCAGCUCUGGGUCAUGGAGAAGGGGACCAGUCCAGAUGGUCAGGGCAGGAGACCGUGGGCGGUUCGAGCGAAGGAGGGCGCCCUGGGGGACCGAGUGUGUGCUUACACACGCGUGGGCAUGCAUGCGUGCGUGCACCUGGAGUGUGCAGGGGGAGUGAGGAGGACAUGGUGAAGACGGAGUGACCGGCUGCCCAGGGCUGGGGGCCAACCGGGACAUGGGUAGAAGGAACAAUAUUGCUACUAUGGAAAUUGAGAGCAAUACGGAAAAGAGAUGUCCGCACACCACCCAAAAGCCAUCACCGGUCAUUGCGCUGGUUUUCUGUCCAGCCUGGAUCCAGGCACCACUUCACCUCCUUGGGGCCACGUGUGUGUGCACCCCCUCCCAGUCUCGGGCGCCUGUGGUGGGGGGUGGGGGCUUC